GUGGAGCAGAUACAGUGCCAAGAGACAGGG
rnacentral:piRNA from 1 species